CAAGCCCCAUCAGAAUCACAAGCUUGAAUAAUAAAUUUAAAGACCAAGUAUCAGAAGGUACAAAAAGACCACAACAUAAAAAGCUGUAACUUGUGUCACUCCAAGAUAAUUGUAGACACCUUUUACACUUGUGCCUGGAUUUCCUUCAACUUGUUUGGCCAGUUUGACUACAUAGAUAUUGUAACUUGGAAACAUAAAAUCAUUUCCAUCUUUCAAUUUCCAAAUGAUCUUUACGCUAACAAUUUUGGAUCCUUGAGAAUCUGAGCUAAUUUUGAUAUUUUGACCUUCAACCAGCCAUAAACUGGAUGGAGGCAUACAAAAAUUCCCUUCAGAAUUUUUAAUUGCAACGUGACCAAGCGUUGAAAAAAACUUUGCAUGAUGGCCAUCUAUUUUGUGUUCUGAUCUCAGUUCACCAUUCUUAGGCUUCAGCUUGUAGCAUACAGCAUGAAUCUCUGUUAAUAUGCAUUCAUUCAUUUCAAUGCAACCUUCAUAUACGACCCAUCCUGGAUCCAUUUCUGGUUUUCUAACUGGAUGUGCCAUAAUCACUUUACUGAAUUUGCUAGGGAAUUUGUACAUAUCCCCAGAUGCAGUAAGUACUGAUGUCCUCUCACCAUUGGUAGAAGAGAACUGAAGAGAUAGUCCCAGUUGAGAGUCCCCAUCUGAUUUCACCUGCAUUAUUACGUAUGUCACAGAUGAACGACAGGGAAGCAGAAAGAGAAACACAGACUGGGAUAUGUUAUACAAUCACUUUAUCAGUUUACUGUUUUAGUUAACAUAUGUUCACACAGGAGCAACAUGCUUUAAUUUUAAAUUUCUAUGGAACAGACAAAGACUCUUCUUAUAACUGGAAUAACUUUAUAUCAUCAAAAGCUCUAUUUAGCUGGUCACAUUCAGGACAUGAGUAAUGGUAUAACAGAGAAACACACUAUACCUGUGCCAUCUAAUCUCAUUCCAUGGUUUCCUAUCCCACUUUUGUUUCUAUUAUAACUGUAAGUUCAUUUUGUCUUUCCCUGAUCUGGAUAAACUCACAUUCAGCCAAACAGAAAGUUGUAAUUAUUUAGGAAGGCCACUGAUAAGUUUGAUAGUUUCAAAUUCAAAUUAACAUACUUAUAACAUCUCCGAUCUGAAAAUUGUAAGAUGGCAAUUGAAUUCAUUUAAGAGGUGGAUACAAAAUGGGUGUUUUGUCAUAUAAUAAUAGUAUAUAUAACAAUUAUGUAUUCUAUAUCCACUUCAGGCCACAAAAGAGAGGGCUUACAGAAUAUGUAAGGUGGAGAGGUUGAUUGCCCAGAGGUAGCUCUGCCAAAAAGAGCCUUGUAGUGAAGACAGCACUGUCUUCAAGAAAUCCUUUAAACGUGAUGUUUCCUCCCCCAUUAUAAGAUGCUUCUUUGACACUUACUCAACAAGGACUUGAAUAGUUUCAGGAGUUGGGCCAUCAAUGGACUCAAGAAAAGGCUGCCACAAAGAUGGGAGUAAAAAGAUAAGAAGGAAAUAUUGUAGCUAAUCCAGUCUCAGAGGCAUCAGUGAUGGUUUGCUCGACAAUAACAUUUAAUGAUUUGAGCAUCCCAUAUGAAGCAUAUUACCUUACAUUCAGCUUAUCAUUUUACUCAAUAGAAAAAACAUAUAGGCAUAAACAUAAAAAGCUAAAAUGCAUAGGUUGGAACUUGAAAUGCAGCUACAUGAAUGACGAAUUGUUACAAAUUGAACUUAUUAUUUGUUACAAAUUGCAAGCUAGAAUUCAAAAAUUUCACUCACCAAUCUACAUCCAUUUUAUACCUCCAUAUUAAUAUUGUACAUUAUUUUUCAUUAUAUAAUAUAAUAACAUCAGCCAUGUACUUUCCCUGAAAAUGCAUUAAAGCAUCCUAGAAAUGUAGAACUAGAGCAGGAAUACAAAUUCUGAUUUUGUGAUAAUAUGAUGCUUAUGUGGAGCAUACUAAUAAUAUUAUCUUAUGAACAAGAACAUGUAGAUAAAACAAAUUCCAUGGAAUCAUUUUUGGAAUGAUGGUGGAUAUCUCCAGAAAAUAGCCAUUCCAUAAUCAUAGAAAACUGCAUUGUGGAAAGGCAGCAGACAGAUUUUUUUUUUUCCAAAGAAAAAACACCUAGCUACAGCCUACAAGUUACACAAAUUGGAAAAGAAAACAUACAAGUAAUUACGGAAAAAUGACAGCUCAUUUAGUGCAAACCUGAAGCCCUUGGCAAGACAUGUUGUUCCAAGAAGUUUCCAUUACUUGUUGUCCCUCAACUGAAAUAUGAUAUCCAUGACCCUGAAGAACAUCGAAUAUGCUCAGUAAAUGGACUGAUACAUGCAGGAACCAUAAGCACAACUCAGCUACUUUCUCGCAUCCUGAUCAAAAUUUGAAUAAAAUGGUAGUGUUUUGGGAUAUUUGUUCACUAAUCCCCAUGACUUUUCUACAAGGGUCCACCAACGAUUUUGAGCAGUCCAAAAAUCAGGCAGUUGUUGAGUCUCGUAGAGCCAACCAGGAGCAAAGAUGGCAGCAGACACAUUAUCAUUCUUUAGCACCUCAAGGGCAACAUUUGUCUGAGGUCCAAACAGUUACUACAAUUUAUUAAAAGGAGAAGGGGGAAAAGUUGUUCCACUGCUUACAUUGAGAAUGUAUGAAUUUAUCAAAGAUAAACUAUAUCCAUAACUUGGUGCAAAGAAGUGCUUAAAUCAACAACAAAAUAUCAUUUGCCUAAUGAGAAAAUACUUCAUGGUAAUGAACCUGAAAUUUCUUUCACUUUUCAUUACUCAUAUUAUUCUAGAAUAUAUUAUUACAAUGAGUGCCGUUGAAACAUGGGAAUGAUUGCCAAAGUUGGCUCAUGAACUAUUUGGUGGUGUUCAAGGCUAAGUCAAUCAAAAAAUUUUAAUUUGGCCAAACUAGUCCUCUAAAUAUGCUGGUGAAAUGAGACUUGAGAGGAGAUUGUGAUGGUGGACCAAUUGGCAAUAUUAAAGUUUUUAAACUAAAUUGGACAUCAUGCGAUUGUACAUGGCUAAUUUGGGAUUUAUUUUGUUGAAAUAUAUGACACUCAUGAUUUUUCACAAUCCAGAAGUGGUAAUUUUAUCUUUGUAGCACAUAGCAUGACUCAUGUUAACAGUGACCAUAUAGAAUGAAAACUAUUACCAUUUACCACAAUAACCCAUAAAAGGUUGUGUCCAGAAUGCUAUUAGUCUACAGAAGAAUUUCCUAAAGAAGUGCUGAGGCUAUCACCAACUGUUUCAAAAGGAAGAUAAAUGAAACUAGGUCUCAAUGAUCUCAAUUGGUUGGACUACACAGAAUAAAGCAGAGGAUGAAGUAUCCUAUUCUCACGUGGUAGCCAUCUUGAAUUACACUCUCCCUGCACGUACCAUUCAACAACACUGGAUGAUCCUCAAGAAUUUCUCAGCAACUGCCUGGUGGUUGCUUUACAAGGUGAUUCCUUGCGACCAGGGAUUAGGGGAAUGUUCAACAAGUUAUGUGAACUUGAAAAAUAAUCAAGUUCUGCUGGAAAAUCCGAUGAAAGGUCUUACUAAAAGCUUAGUUUAAAGCCCUCACCCUCAGCACCACUAAACAGCGAUAAAAGUUCUAUUAACCGGAAGAAAUAAAGGAAGCACUAUCAAGACAGCACAUGCAACAAGACUAAAUGUCCAGAACACAUCCAUAUCAGGAAAUAACUAUGUUCAAUACCAAAUUUGUAUAUCCUAAAAAGAUCUCAUACAUCUUAUAAAUUCUAAUGUUUACACCACUAUGACACUCCUAAUGCUUACUUUUAAGGAACAUAUUUUCUCCCAAUUCUUCAGUAAGCAAACAUAUAUGAUGCCUAAAGCAGUUUAGUUAGCCCCUAACGCGGAAAUUAUUUCUAAAGUGAUGACCAGAUUUUUAAUUAAUCAUAAAGCAAAUCAACCAACCGUGAAGAAGACAAUCAUGCUUUUUUGCGGGGCGGGGAGAGAGGGG
rnacentral:misc_RNA from 1 species